rnacentral:lncRNA from 10 species
GCAAAAUCCUGGGGGAGGAGGUCCUGGAGGAAUGCCUGGCCACUGCGGUUUAGGUGUUCUGAAGUUCUUGUGUGCUGGAGAUGUGGCUGGGGUUUCUCUCACAGCAGAGGAAACAACCACCACAGAGCUGCUCAAUUUGUCUGGUACGUGGACCCAUGGCUCCUGAGAGGUGGGAAGGGGCUGCCUGCAUCCGUGGGCCCUGAAUCACGACAUAGAGGAAGAUGCCUCUGCUUCUCGAUGUUGGAGGUGGGAAGAAAGCAAGGGCAGGACAAUGCCCUCCAGGAGAUGCCAAUGUGGAUGAAUUUAGCCUGCAGUACAGGCUCAGUCACUUGCACCUGUAAUCCCAGCACUUUGGGAGGCCGAAGCUGGCGGAUCACUUGAAGCCAGGAGUUUGAGACCAGCCUUGCUAACAUGGUCACACCUCGUCUCUACUAAAAGUACAAAAAUUAGCCUGGUGUCAUGGCAUACAACUAUAGUCCCAGCUACUCAGGAGGCUGAAGCAAAAGAAUGGCUUGAACCCAGGAGGGGAAGGUUGCAGUGAGCCAAGAUUGUACCACUGCACUUCAGCCUGGGUGACAGAGUGAGACUGUCUCAAAAAAAAAAAAAAAAAAAAAAAAAAAAAGAGUCUGUGUCCUUAAUGGUCCUUUCUUGGAUGCUGUAGUUUUCAGGAACCUUUAUUCUGGGACACAGAGGAAAUUAGAAGGGCCCCCAGAGAAUCCCCUAAGUUCUAGGCAAAGCCUUCUUUCCCCCAAAUUGUAUAGCAACCAACAAAUUUCCCUUUGGUAAUUUGGCUCAAUCACUGUAAUCAGCACAGUAACCUCUUUUUCUUCUUGUUGAUUUAAGGGCAUCAGAAGCCCCAAAUAGAGAAGCGGCAGUCUCGUUUCCAAUGCAAUGGAAAAUGCGAGUGGGGAAGAGCAAGCCCUUAGGAGGCAGCCAGUCACUAUCUUUUAGAGGAAAAUAAAUUGUCUUCCUGAUCUGACAAGCUUGCUGCUGCCUGAGGCUGGAGUGUGUUGCGGCAGGGAUGGACACUCCCAGGAGCUGGGAGAGGCUUGCCUUCACUUCCUAGGGCUGCGGUAACAAAUUCACACAAACUGGGGGCUGCAAACAACAGGCAUGCUUUGUCUCACAGUUCUGGAGGCUAACGUCUGAAAUCGAUGUGUGGGCAGGCUUGGUUCCCUCUGGUGGCUAUGAGGUCUCGCUCACCUUCUGGGGGCUGCCUGCAAUCCUUGGUGUCCCUUGGAUUCAAGAGGCAUCCUUCCCGUCUUUGCCCCACCCUCACAGCACCAUCUUCUCUAUGUGUGUCUUCUUUUCUGUCUCUUCUAUGCACACUUAUCAUUUGAUUUAGGGGCCCCUCUAAGCUCUAAGCCAGGAAAAUCUCACCUUGAAAUCUUCAUUUUAAUUAUAUCUGCAAAGACCCUUCUUCCAAAUAAGAUUGGAUAUUGAGGUUCUCUUUUGGGAAACCACUAUUCAAUCUAGGUACCCUGUGUUCCUGUUCGAGCUGGGUCAAUACUUUGCUGCCUGGCCUUGAGCAAGUCACUUUGCCUUUCUGGGUCUCAGUUUCUCUUAGAUCGUCUCCUACAUUGCUUACAGGUAGAAUGUGCCAAUAGAGUGAGGGGUCCCAGGAAAUGGUUCAGACCAAGCUUCCUUCAUUCAACAGUGAUGCUCCUGCUCUGUACUAGCCUCAGUGCUGUAUCCCAGGGAGGCAGACGACCCCGAGCCUUGUACCUCCAGCCACUAAGAACAAAGUUUAGAGGGAAAGCAGACCUUGGAGUAGCUGAUUACAACAGACUAGAAUGGGUGCUUUGAAAGGUCAGCGCCUUGCUUCAUUCACACCGUGAAAGUCCUGGCACCAUUUGUAAUUGAUGAAUCAUUUUAAAUGGACAUAUUUUGCAGCCAGGGAGAGCUGUGAGAGGACACAACCUGAGUGUUUGUUGGAGCACAGAGGAAAGGCAACUGGCCUUGUCUUGGAGGAUCCAGAUGGGUUCCUAGCAGAGAUAGGGUCCAAACAGAGGCCUGAAGGACAAGUGAGUGUGAGAUGAGGGAGGGGACAGGGUGCUGCUCCAGGUACAACCAUAGCACGUGCAUGGGGCAGAGGUGAGAGAGAGCCUGUUCCCCGCCAGGAUGGAUAAGUGGCUUAUAAUGACAGUAUAACUGCCCAAGGUCACACACCUCUUAAGAGGUAGAGCUAAGACUUGACUCCAAGAAGUCAGAUUCUAGAGCCAAAGUAUGAUAACAUGUUGAGGAAAUGUGGUGUCAUCCAUCGGAAACCAUUUAAUAAAUUCUAUUCAGAUUGGCUUAAAUGCUCAUAUCAACUAUAUACUAAUUAACUGAAAUUUAUUUUAGUGCAUUUAAUUGAAGUAAUUUUUGAG